rnacentral:tRNA from 1 species
CCGCUCGAGUAAUACGACUCACUAUAGCGGCUAUAGCUCAGCUGGGAGAGCGCCUGCUUUGCACGCAGGAGGUCUGCGGUUCGAUCCCGCAUAGCUGCACCAAGAUCUUCC